GACAGAGGUGCCGAGCGUUAGGCGGAAUCACUGGGCUUAAAGCGUGUGUAGGCGGAUCUGUAAGUACCUUGUGAAAUCCCACGGCUCAACCGUGGAACUGCUUGGUAUACUGCGGGUCUUGAGCCACCUAGGGGCAAGUGGAACAAACGGUGGAGCGGUGAAAUGCGUAGAUAUCAGGAGGAACACCUGUGGUGUAGACAGCUUACUGGACCACUUCUGACGCUGAGACACGAAAGCGUGGGUAGCAAACAGG
rnacentral:rRNA from 1 species